rnacentral:rRNA from 1 species
GACGAACGCUGGCGGCGUGCUUAACACAUGCAAGUCGAACGGAAAGGCCCUGCUUUUGUGGGGUGCUCGAGUGGCGAACGGGUGAGUAACACGUGAGUAACCUGCCCUUGACUUUGGGAUAACUUCAGGAAACUGGGGCUAAUACCGGAUAGGAGCUCCUGCUGCAUGGUGGGGGUUGGAAAGUUUCGGCGGUUGGGGAUGGAUUCGCGGCUUAUCAGCUUGUUGGUGGGGUAGUGGCUUACCAAGGCUUUGACGGGUAGCCGGCCUGAGAGGGUGACCGGCCACAUUGGGACUGAGAUACGGACCAGACUCCUACGGGAGGCAGCAGUGGGGAAUAUUGCACAAUGGGCGGAAGCCUGAUGCAGCAACGCCGCGUGCGGGAUGACGGCCUUCGGGUUGUAAACCGCUUUCGCCUGUGACGAAGCGUGAGUGACGGUAAUGGGUAAAGAAGCACCGGCUAACUACGUG